AGAGAAACAGUUGCCUUCAACAAGGAUAACAAAAAUGGGGUGCCAGGUUUUAGACAGAUCCACUUUUGAGCUGAGUCAGGAAGAAGCAGAAAAAUAUUCUAGGGGAAUGUCAGGUUUUAAAUAUUAAUAUUAAAUUAAUAUUUAAAUAUUCCUUUUCACACAGCUUCCUUUGCCUCCUCCUUGCCUGGGAAGUUCAGCCGUGACGGAUUUCUGAGAUAGUUUUAUGUGCGUGUAAAGUUCUGUUCUCUAUUUGCUGCCACUUGAGCCAUCAAGCCUCCCUCUCCCUGUGCCGUUUCUGUGAAAUUUUCAAACAGAKGAAAAUAAAUGUGAUAGCACCUAUUUCAGAAGCAAUUAAUAUGGAGAGAACAAGAGCAGAAAGCCACUUAAAUGGCACCUUUUAGGCACGUAAUACACAAGAAUGGAACUUGGAUUAGUCGUCCUAGAGAUUUUGACCUCCUAUUUGUCUUGAGGCUUUUAUCAAUCCUGUUCCUUUUGUUUAUUUUUUCCAUGUAAAAUGCAUUUAGAUUGUCAAAUAUCUACAUCUGCAAAAGAAUACCAGACUCUGAAAGUGUAUCCAACAGAGACCUGCUCGUGUCCUGCUACGUGAGGCAGAAUAAAGCUGAUGAACGAGAUACUUGAGCAAGAAGCUGCUUCUGAGAAUGAUCCAUUUAGUUACGACACCAAAUGGAGCUCAGGUCACCUUGCCGAAGUUUCCUCUUGCRUCUGCAUCUCUUUACAUCUGGUCGACAUGUAAAGCCAGAUGUGGGGCACCUAACUGCUCUUUAGCCAGAUGUUCUUCUGCUAAAAUCUGCUGAUGAGCACAAGCACCACCGUGAGCUGGUGAGCUUGGUAAGCUGCACUGCUGUCAUCGUUCCCUUCCUCCGUGUCCUGGGGCUGUCUGUUGGCCCCUCUCUCCUCACUGUCAAUUUUCUACAGUUGUCUGAAUCUGUUUUUUUAGGAAAAUGCAUCAGUUGUUAGCUGUCAAAAGGCAAUUUAUGCUUUUAGUGGUCUGGGCUUUACCACGUGUGGCUUAGGAGACUUUCUAGAUCCUAGUGCCAGAUUGCGUAUGCUAUUUUUGUGUSAACCACAAAUGGCUCAAUUUUAUUAAGAUCCUAGCAAUAGCUAAUCUGAAGAAGCUGUCAAAGUCACUUUUUCCCUUUAGCUACCUGAAUGUUUAUGAGGGUUUUUAUUACCUGUCCACAUCCAAGCUUUUAAACAAGAACUCAUUCUUCCUUUAGUGGGU
rnacentral:lncRNA from 1 species